rnacentral:snoRNA from 1 species
CUUUAUGAUGAGGUAAUUUGCGAUUGAUUCCUGCCGAUGGCUCUCUUCGCCAGAGUGGCUUUAUCGGCAGGAUAGGUGAUAUUCAAUUUCUUACAUAUUCUGAAC